ACGCUCGACACCUACGGGACGCAGCAGUGAGGAAUAUUGGUCAAUGGGCGCUAGCCUGAACCAGCCAAGUAGCGUGAAGGAUGAAGGCUCUAUGGGUCGUAAACUUCUUUUAUAUAAGAAUAAAGUGCAGUAUGUAUACUGUUUUGUAUGUAUUAUAUGAAUAAGGAUCGGCUAACUCCGUGCCAACAGCCGCGGUAAUCUGAGCGGGCUGGCAAGGC
rnacentral:rRNA from 1 species